GCGGGACUUCCGGGAGGCGCGCUCGACCUGUGUCGAUCAGACGUCGCUACCUCACGGGGGAGGUCUUGAACUGUCCUGACGGGACGGGAGCCGCGAUCACAACCAUGGCCACGGCUGCGGCUAUGGCUCCGGCCCCGGCCAUCCCCACGACUUUUGGACAGGCGGUGAUCGGGCCUCCGGGCUCGGGGAAGACCACGUACUGCCUGGGCAUGAGCACUUUCCUGGCCGGGCUGGGCCGGCGAGUAGCCGUGGUCAACCUAGACCCGGCGAACGAGGGCACGCCGUACGCAUGCGCCGUGGACAUCGGCGAACUGGUGACGCUCCCCGACGUGAUGGAGGCGCUCAAGCUGGGGCCCAACGGCGGCCUCGUGUACUGCAUGGAGUACCUGGAGGCCAACCUGGACUGGCUGCACGACCGCUUGGCGCCGUUCCGCGGCCACUACCUGCUCUUCGACUGCCCGGGUCAGGUGGAGCUGUGCACACACCACGGCGCCUUGCGCAGCGUCUUCGCGCAGCUGGCCCAAUGGGGCUUCCGGCUGACUGCUGCCCACCUAGUGGAUUCUCACUACUGUACAGAUCCAGCCAAAUUCAUCUCUGUGCUGUGCACCUCCCUGUCCACCAUGCUGCAUGUAGAGCUGCCCCAUGUCAACAUCCUCUCCAAGAUGGACCUCAUUGAGCAGUUUGGGAAGCUAGCCUUCAACCUGGACUACUACACUGAAGUCCUAGACCUCUCCUAUCUGCUUGACCACCUGACCUCAGACCCCUUCUUCCGUCAUUAUCGACAGCUCAAUGAGAAGCUGGUGCAGCUGAUUGAAGACUACAGCCUGGUCUCUUUCAUCCCUCUCAAUAUCCAGGACAAGGAAAGUGUCCAACGGGUGCUGCAGGCUGUGGACAAAGCCAACGGCUACUGUUUUGGGGUGGCCGAGCAGCAGAGUCUGGAGGCCAUGAUGUCCGCUGCAGUGGGGGCUGACUUCCAUUUUACCUCCACGCUGGGAAUCCAGGAGAAGUACCUUCCGUCCCCAGAAGAAGAGGCAGUGGAACAGGAAGACAUGCACUCGUAGGGGCGAGAGCAAGAGCGGUGUGCCUAGAUCCAAAAAAUGGCGGCUCAUGGCAGGCAGGCCCUGGAGUAGGGCCAGAAACAAGCCGUCUUCGAUCUUGAGGGAGGGGCUAGUGCAGCCCAGUGAAGGACUCCAGAACCCCAGAAGGGAGGCUCGGAGGAUCUCCGCAGUGGGAGGCCACGUGAUCGAGAUUCACAAUCAGAAGACCUGGCUGGGAAUUCAGACUUUGCCACCCACUCUGUGUCGGCAAGUCACUUCUCAUCUCUAAAAUUAAGCAGUUGGACUGAAUGACCUCUAAGGACCUUUCCAGCUUGAAACCAAUUACCCGAGGGCAGCUCCAGCCCUGAAUGCUUCAAUCAGAGCUGAGAAAGCCUCUCUGGGCUUCCCCCCUUCUUCAGUUCCAGUAUCUAGUAUCUCUCAAAGUCAUUGGGUGGCUCAAUCGUGUCCACCGUGUGGGGAGCAAGAAUGAGGAAAGAGACGCUGUUUGUGGUGCUGGCCAGUAGGGGGCAGCACAUAACCACUUGAUUGACAACAGCCGCUGACUUGGGAUGGCACCCUUGAAUGCUGGGAAAGGUGUGAGGAAGGGGUUGAGUGGAGCAAGAGGAGUCUGAAGAGCUGGAUUCAGGCUCCAGCUCGGCCACUGCCAACUUAGGCGGGUCCCUCCCAUUCUGUGGCCUCUUCACGUGUGAGAUGUGUGAGCUCCUGGAGGGCAGGGAUGUCCUCGGGGCCAGACACAGCACCUGGCACGUAGUAGGUGUUCCAUAAAUGCUCACUGACUGAC